AAGACCUUGCGCUUUUGGAGCGGCCGAUGCCUGAUUAGCUUGUUGGUAAGGUAAAAGCUUACCAAGGCUUCGAUCAGUAGCUGGUCUGAGAGGACGACCAGCCACACUGGGACUGAGACACGGCCCAGACUCCUACGGGAGGCAGCAGUGGGGAAUUUUGGACAAUGGGCGCAAGCCUGAUCCAGCCAUGCCGCGUGAGUGAAGAAGGCCUUCGGGUUGUAAAGCUCUUUCAGCCGGGAAGAAAUGGCUGCGACUAAUAAUCGCAGUUCAUGACGGUACCGGAAGAAGAAGCACCGGCUAACUACGUGCCAGCAGCCGCGGUAAUACGUAGGGUGCGAGCGUUAAUCGGAAUUACUGGGCGUAAAGGGUGCGCAGGCGGUUUUGUAAGUCAGAUGUGAAAUCCCCGGGCUUAACCUGGGAACU
rnacentral:rRNA from 1 species